GGCAGCAAAAAGGAGGACAAGGUCAGGAACUCCAAACGGCUCAGUACGAGACAGCAGGGGGAAGACGUGGUGCUGCAGUGGUGUAAUGAUUAAUCUUUUUCUGCACUAAUAUGAGGAAAGCGAUUGUUGGGGCCUGCUGUGGUGGUGGCAGCAUGGUGGAUCUGGAUGUCCUUUCCUUGUGGCCAUAAUGGUCACAAUUUUAUUGAAGCCUUCAACGUCGGUGGGUCUGGUCCAUUCCUUCUGGCAGCAGUUUCAGCGGUGUCUAUAGUGUGGAGGCAUGGUGGUUCUGGUUCAUUCCUUGUGGCCAAGGCAGCAAUAUGGCAGAUUUGGGCAGCACCUUAAGUGCUUGACGGCUUGAGCGAUGGCUUCAGCAUCGACAACUUGGUGAGCUCAGUCUGUCACUCCUUACUUCGGCGUGAUGCAGUGGCUUUGGUGUUGGCUUCAGCAGUGGCAGCAUGGUGGGUCCGGUCCAGAAAUCCUUCCUUUGUUUGCCUCAGGAGCGAUUUCGAAGGCAAAGUCCCAUAGCCAUCCAUAAACCCAGGGACUAUGGAGGGAACAGAAAAUCAACGUUGUCUCAAUUAUUUCUUUUUAUAAUUUCUGUAAUUAAAGUGGUGCCAAAUUGUGGUGACUAAAACACCUUUCACUGUAUUUUCAAAAAUACAAGUAACAAUAAAUUGCAAUUCUAUUCUAA